ACGUAGGUGGCAAGCGAUACUCGGAAUCACUAGGCGUAAAGCGCAGGUAGGCGGUUCGGUAAGUCUUUUGUGAAAGCUCCCGGCUUAACUGGGAGAGGUCAAGGGAAACUACCGGGCUAGAAUGUGGCAGAGGAAACUGGAAUUCCCGGUGUAGCGGUGAAAUGCGCAGAUAUCAGGAGGAACACCGGUGGCGAAGGCGGGUCUCUGGGCCGAUACUGACGCUGAGGAGCGAAAGCGUGGGGAGCGAACAGGA
rnacentral:rRNA from 1 species